rnacentral:rRNA from 1 species
CCUANGGGUGGCAGCAGUAGGGAAUAUUGGGCAAUGGGCGAAAGCCUGACCCAGCAACGCCGCGUGCACGAUGAAGGUCUUCGGAUCGUAAAGUGCUUUUCUGAGAGAUGAGAAAGGACAGUAUCUCAGGAAUAAGUCUCGGCUAACUACGUGCCAGCAGCCGCGGUAAAACGUAGGAGGCAAGCGUUAUCCGGAUUUACUGGGCGUAAAGCGUGUGCAGGUGGUUUGGUAAGUUGGAUGUGAAAGCUCCUGGCUCAACUGGGAGAGGUCGUUCAAUACUACCAGACUUGAGAGCAGUAGAGGGAGGUGGAAUUCCCGGUGUAGUGGUGAAAUGCGUAGAUAUCGGGAGGAACACCAGUGGCGAAAGCGGCCUCCUGGACUGUUUCUGACACUCAGACACGAAAGCUAGGGUAGCAAACGGGAUUAGAUACCCUUNUANUC